GUCAAGGCCAGACUUUUCCUUCAUGUCUGUCUGGGGCCCACCAGAGAGCCCUGCGGAGAGGAGCAGAAGCUGAAAUCCUUUGAUACUGUGGGUUCGUGGUCUCGCUGACUUCAAGAAUGGAGCCGCGGACCUUCGUGACAGAAAAGUUCUCCAAGUCCCCACUCAACUCAGGAGGUCCAGCUGGAUUCACCUCUCAAGACCACGCGGUAUUUGGUUUUCUG